GCCUUCGUGGUGUAACGGUAGCACACUCGACGCGUAAUCGAGAGGCCCAAGUUCGAGUCCCGGUUAGGACA
rnacentral:tRNA from 1 species